CCUACGGGAGGCAGCAGUGGGGAAUAUUGCACAAUGGGCGAAAGCCUGAUGCAGCGACGCCGCGUGAGGGAUGACGGCCUUCGGGUUGUAAACCUCUUUCAGCAGGGAAGGAGCCACAAGUGACGGUACCUGCAGAAGAAGCGCCGGCUAACUGCGUGCCAGCAGCCGCGGUAAU
rnacentral:rRNA from 1 species